rnacentral:Y_RNA from 1 species
GGCUGAACCAAGUACACAGUGGUGUUUAAAAUUAAUUGAUUAUAACCAGUUACAUAUUUCUUUAUUCCUUCUUAAAACUCUCACUGCUUCAUUUGACUAGCCUUAA